UACGUAGGGUGCAAGCGUUGUUCGGAAUUACUGGGCGUAAAGGGAGUGUAGGCGGAACCAUAAGUUAGGAGUUUAAUCCACCGGCUCAACCGGUGUUCGGCUCUUAAUACUGUGGUCCUUGAGUAUGGGAGAGGGUGAUGGAAUUCCAGGUGUAGCGGUGGAAUGCGUAGAUAUCUGGAAGAACACCAGUAGCGAAGGCGGUCGCCUGGCCCAAUACUGACGCUGAGGCUCGAAAGCUAGGGGAGCAAACAGG
rnacentral:rRNA from 1 species